rnacentral:rRNA from 1 species
GAUGAACGCUGGCGGCGUGCCUAAUACAUGCAAGUCGAGCGAAUGGAUUAAGAGCUUGCUCUUAUGAAGUUAGCGGCGGACGGGUGAGUAACACGUGGGUAACCUGCCCAUAAGACUGGGAUAACUCCGGGAAACCGGGGCUAAUACCGGAUAACAUUUUGAACCGCAUGGUUCGAAAUUGAAAGGCGGCUUCGGCUGUCACUUAUGGAUGGACCCGCGUCGCAUUAGCUAGUUGGUGAGGUAACGGCUCACCAAGGCAACGAUGCGUAGCCGACCUGGGAGGGUGAUCGGCCACACUGUGACUGAGACACGGCCCAGACUCCUACGGGAGGCAGCAGUAGGGAAUCUUCCGCAAUGGACGAAAGUCUGACGGAGCAACGCCGCGUGAGUGAUGAAGGCUUUCGAGUCGUAAAACUCUGUUGUUAGGGAAGAACAAGUGCUAGUUGAAUAAGCUGGCACCUUGACGGUACCUAACCAGAAAGCCACGGCUAACUACGUGCCAGCCGCCGCCGUAA